rnacentral:rRNA from 1 species
GUGGGGAAUUUUGGACAAUGGGCGCAAGCCUGAUCCAGCAAUGCCGCGUGCAGGAAGAAGGCCUUCGGGUUGUAAACUGCUUUUGUACGGAACGAAACGGUCCGGGUUAAUACCCUGGGCUAAUGACGGUACCGUAAGAAUAAGCACCGGCUAACUACGUGCCAGCAGCCGCGGUAAUACGUAGGGUGCAAGCGUUAAUCGGAAUUACUGGGCGUAAAGCGUGCGCAGGCGGUUUUGUAAGACAGGCGUGAAAUCCCCGGGCUCAACCUGGGAAUUGCGCUUGUGACUGCAAGGCUGGAGUGCGGGAGAGGGGGAUGGAAUUCCGCGUGUAGCAGUGAAAUGCGUAGAUAUGCGGAGGAACACCGAUGGCGAAGGCAAUCCCCUGGGCCUGCACUGACGCUCAUGCACGAAAGCGUGGGGAGCAAACAGGAUUAGAAACCCUGGUAGUCC